GCUAAGCUUUGUUACGGUGUCUUACGGAAUGUGGCUGUAAACUGAAUAAACCUGAAAAACUGCAAGAAAAAUCCAUUUCAGAGUAUAGACCUACAGCUGGUACUGUACCAAAACAGCAAACCAGACAAAUGACAACAACUGCCUCAAACAAAGGCAGAAGUAACAGUUUGACCGAGAUGCUACGGAAACAGCAGACUAAACUUUAAGCAAUGAUCAAUGGACCUUGGUGUCAAAAAGUGUCCCACCUGUUCUUCAGUCCUGCACAUUGUCCAGGGAACAGACUGGCUGGCCAAUCCAGUGGCUCAGUGUGCCAAUUGCCCCACCAAGCCCUACCUCUGUGCCACCUGCCUCUCUCCCUGGCAAGGCCCUCCUGGGGUGCUGGGCCACUGUGCCAACCAGAGGUGUGCAGUGGUGGGAACCCUCCUCACCUGUGGGCUGAUCACCGACCCAAACAGCCCAGUAUGGGGCUGUCCAGAGUUCCGUGCUUGUCCCAAAUGCUUUAAUCUACUGAUGCAUGACAACGAAGGCUGCAACGAUGUUACCUGCCUGCAGUGCGGCCAUGAUUUCUGCUACAUCUGCUUGAGAAGCCCUGAAGAAUGUGAAUCUCAUACUCACUGUAAAACAGCUGCGCGACAGCGAUUCCAUGUGUAACUAGGAACAACGGAUGCCCUUCCCUAAACACAUGAUCAAGAACAGCCACUGGCCGCACAACCCUUAUAGCAAUUUAAUCUGCUAUUGAAGGUGAUUAGGACAUGCAUGUUCAGUUAAUCAAACAUGAACAUGCAUGAACAUUAGCUUUAGGGGGAUUGAUUAAUAAGCCCCCAGAUGUCCAGCGAGCAGAUCUAAUUACAAUGUAAACACCUAUAUUUCAGAUACCAUGUGCCAUAGAUUGACACCAUGGUAAUGGUUUCAAAUGAUGUCGGAAAUUACAUGUAAGUGGAAGUUUAGCAGCACUACAGAAUACAAUCUGCACUCAUAUUUCCAAAUGAUCUUUCUGACAAAAUCCUCAAGGGUCGUCAGUGACAUAGCCGCCAGUGACAUACCCAAAGGAAGUAAAAACAUUUGAGAGAAGGCUACUCACCUUAUGCCAAGGGAAGCAGUACAAACGCUUAAGCGAACGAGGACAACUGUCCCUGAGAAAAGAAAAAAGAAUAAGCAAAAUGCUGCUGAUGUAUAUUUAUUUGAUUAUGCAUAUCAUUUGUUUAUUUAUAAAGAAAUCCUGACUGGAAACACUUACACAAGCUUCUUCAGCAUGAAUUUUGCACCAGUAACAUAAUCAAUUGGAUUAGGCUACCAAAAACAUGUAACGCAACCUGAUAACUUUAGAAUUACUUUUGCACAACAUAUAUAUUUUUAUUUUCCACCGUCUUUAGUUGUGGUGAUAUUGGCAAGUACUGAACGCAUUUGUCCCGACUGAAACGUGUCUAUUGGUCGACGGUGACAGCCCCUCCGAUUUGGGUUUUGAUUUAAACCGUCUUGUCAAGAAACUACACAAGCAAUUGGAUGAUAGUCACAUAGAGUGGACAAACAAAUGGGCUGCUUGACCUAAAUAUGCAUGGAUCAGUAUGGGGCUUGUAAGGUGGUACAGUAGUACCACAAGAACAGUUAUUCACCCCUAAUAAUACUUAUCAAAGAUGGUCUAUUCAAAUGGAACUAGACACUAAACUACAAGUGCUAAUGGUAUACAAAUAACUCAUAAUUAAUUAUUUAUAAUAUACCAAAUAUGUUCCCUAUUCUAAAGUUGGGUCUUUGUUCACAUUUAAUCAACAAUUAAUUUGGCCCUUAUUGACCCCCAUGUGUUCCCUAAAAUAAAGUUGCCUUCUAUUCACACUUAUUUACUGUUUAAGCACUUGUGGUUUAGUGUCUAGUCCAUUUGAAUAGACCAUCUUUGAUAAGUAUUAUUUGGGUUGAAUAACUGUUAUUGUGGUUCUACCACCGUACAAGCCCCAUACUGAGCCAUGCAUAUUUAGGUCAUAAUUCAUAUGCAACAACGUAUUUAAUAACUAUGAAUAAAGGGUAAUUAGGU